ensembl:snRNA U6 U6 spliceosomal RNA
UUGCUCACUUUGGCAGCACGUAUACUAAAAUCGGAACAGUACAGAGAAGAUUAGCAUGGCCCCUAUACAAGGAUGACAUGCAAAUUCAUGAAGUGUUCCAUAUUUUU